UUCCUAUGCAUAUACCUCUUUGAAAAAUAAAUGUAAAGAGGCAUAGGGCAUGGGAAAA
rnacentral:pre_miRNA from 1 species